GGUUGUGUAGUGUAGCGGUUAUCACUCCAGAUUCUGAUGUGGAUCUUGGAUUUCUGGCAACCCCGGUUCGAUUCCGGGCACGACCU